GAAGACUCGCGUGUGUCCUAAGCAUUUUGGCGGGAUUAGGGGAGUUUGAGGACAAGUUGCUCUGCUCUAAAGCCCUAAAAAUAUGGAGUCGCAAUCCGUCUGUCGUAGGGCUUCUCUCGACAUUGGUCGGAUUACGGGAUGGUCGUGCUCGCUUUCGUCAACUGGAAACCGAGUUCGAGAGAGGAGGCAAGGAGUACAGCUUGAAUUCUCGCCGAAAUGUUUAUAGAAUUUACCACUUGACAAAGCGCAUUUUAUAGAGAGGCUGAUGUUCCAAAUGAGAGGGCUUCCCACCACUCCAGAC